CAUGAUGAAAUUCAUAUAUGAGAUUUCAAAUGGCUUUCUGACACAGGCCUGGGACUAACUAUCCCCAGAACAUCGAUGCCAUGAACAUUAAUGAAAUAACUACCCUAAGGCAAGAAUGGACGAUCUUAAAAACAUAUUUUCCAUCUUAUGGUUCAUAUUUACUUCAAAUGUAAAGCCCUUGGGCCAAUUGUUUGCAUUCCUCUAAGGACAGUUGGUCAGAGUCAGAAGAAAGUAGCUCGGGGAGUUUGUGGUCAGAUUGAAUGGCAAGGAUUCAUGGACAAUUUGAGUUGCCUCUCUAGUCAGUAAUGGUAAUAAAAACCAGGCACACACGUGUCCAUGACUACAUGAUCAGAGUGUGUUCAUGGGACUGCACAUGUAACCUCUGCUCAGGCUUACUGAAUGGCAGACAUGGAAAAGGCGUACACUUUGAUUGUGUUCUUCCUGCUGCUGAGACUUUCUUUCAUCUUGUGCGGUUUUCCAGAAGCCACUUGUUUUUGGAGAAUAAAUCACAAUGAACAUCUUGAGAGCAACAUGAGGAAGGACUGUGGUUUCAUCCUUUUCACAAUACCUGUUCAUCUAGUGGAAGAUCACUUCAGGGUGCUGCUGGAUUUUCCUUUUCCACUUCGGUGUGCAGUAUGCCUUGCCAUCCUGGUUUCAAGAAAUCGCAUCCUGAAGGAAAAGCAGACUGCUGUUUUGAUUGUCUCCGAUGUCCUGCCAAUGAGAUUUCCAACACCACAG
rnacentral:lncRNA from 1 species